CAGAAGUAUAGGUGACAACCUACUACUUGCAAUUGGUAUGGGAGGGCAGGAGGGAGUCUUGUGGGACUGAGCCCGUAACCUGUGGGAGCUGACACUAUUUGCCUAGAGAUGGUUCCAGAAUUGAUGGUGUCUGCUGGAGAAUUGCUUGACGUGUGGGGAAAACCCCCCCAUACAUCUGGUGUCAGAAGUGUUGUGUUGAGUGUUGUGGGAGGAAAAAAGGAAGCUGUUUCUUCCUUCAGACCAGGUGACCAAGGCCUGACUUGGGGCCAGAGGCAGUGAGGUUGGAGGGUGAGGGACCAGCAGUGGAGGUAUUUGAGACAUGGAGUUGACACUGACGUUGUCAGCAGAACCAUGGAGGUUGGGUCAGAAGUUACCUGAGGCUUGCCUGGGCACGGUUGGCUCAUGCUUGUAAUCCCAACAUUUUGGGAGGUUGAGGUGAGAGGAUUGCUUGAGGCCAGAAGUUUGAGACCAGCCUGGACAACAUAGCAAAACCUGGUCUCUAUUUUCUUUUUUUUAAAAAAAGAGGCGGGGGUGAGUGGGAGGGGGUGCCAGCAUGGUGGCUCAUGCCUGUAAUCUCAGCACUUUGGGAGGCCAAAAUGAGUAGAUUGCUUGAGCUCAAGAAUUUAAGACCAGCCUGGGCAACAUGGCAAAACCCCAUCUCUUCAAAAAAUACAAAAACAUAGCUGGGCGUGGUGGCACAUGCCUGUGGUCCCAGCCAUUUGGGAGGCUGAGGUGGGAGGAUUGCUUGAGCCCAGGAGGUUGAGGAUGCAGUGAGCCUAGAUGGCAACACUGCAGUUCAAUCUGGGUGACAGAGCAAGAACUUGUCUUAAAACAAAAAGAAAAGAAAUUACCUAAGGCUGGAAGGAGAGCUGGCUUUUAACUAAGGCCUACUAUAUGUGUCUUGAUUCUUAAGAAACAGCAGUAUGGGGGGGUCCCCUAAGACCAUCUCCAGGUCCCUGGGGUGGGAGCAGGUGAGGAAAGUAGGGAGGGAAGGAGAUGGUGCUGCUGAGCGGGGUCAGGUAUGAGUCCUUGGUGGUGAGUCCUUGGCAUAUAGUUGGUGCACUUUCUUUCCCAUGCUGAAGCAUAGAAAGCUUGUUUAAGACAAGUAGGGACAAAACAAAAGUCAAAGCUGAUUCCUACAACACAACACUAAUUUUUUUUUUUUUUUGAGAUGGAGUCUUGCUCUGUCACCCAAGCUGGAGUGCAGUGGCACGAUCUCGGCUCACUGCAACCUCCGCCUCCCGAGUUCAAGUGAUUCUCGUGCCUCAGCCUCCCGAGUAGCAUUGGCGCUCUCAUAGGCCUGUCCGUAGCAGCAGUGGUUCUUCUCGCCUUCAUUGUUACCGCCUGUGUGCUCUGCUACCUGUUCAUCAGCUCUAAGCCCCACACAAAGUUGGACCUGGGCUUGAGCUUACAGACAGCAGGCCCUGAGGAGGUUUCUCCUGACUGCCAAGGUGUGAACACAGGCAUGGCGGCAGAAGUGCCAAAAGUGAGCCCUCUCCAGCAGAGUUACUCCUGCUUGAACCCGCAGCUGGAGAGCAAUGAGGGGCAGGCUGUGAACUCCAAACGCCUCCUCCAUCAUUGCUUCAUGGCCACAGUGACCACCAGUGACAUUCCAGGCAGCCCUGAGGAAGCCUCUGUACCCAACCCUGACCUAUGUGGACCAGUCCCAUAAACAUUCAAUAAAUGUCUCCAUACCAUC
rnacentral:lncRNA from 1 species